rnacentral:lncRNA from 1 species
GCAAACCCCAAGAGUUCAGCCGUUGGUUAUCCGCUCUAAGCAACAGGGCUUCUUUCCAAGACUUAGCUGGGAUGCAGAAUAGAAGCUGGGCCUUUGUCUGACUACCCUGCAACAGUCAGCCACAGACGGGAAGGCAGCGCAGGAAACUGAGGCCAAAGGAGCCGCGCUUCCUCAUGAGCAUGAAGCGGCAAAGCCUGAACUAGAAGCUUCUAACGCCUAACCGUCCUCUUGCCGCACCAGGACCUACCUCUGCAAGGCCCUUCCUGACUUUUUCCUUAGAAUGUGUGUAUAUGUGUCUUUUUCCUUUUCUGAUGCUAAGACACCUCAGAAACACCAAUGUUAAGCAGAUUUCCAUCGUUGGAGGUUAAAACACCCGAAUACAAGUGUUUUCUUGAGUGUGGCAUCUGGUCAGAUGUUUUAUGGGUUGGUUUGUUUUUAAAAAAAAAAAAUUUCCUGUUAGAUGGGUGGUAAGAACCAGUCAGAGUUUGUAAACCCACCAAGCACGAGGCGGUCGGACCGUCCAGAUUCUGGAGUCCAGAAGACACCAAACGUUCUCAGAAUGCCGAACGCGGGCGCCACCUGGUGGGACUAGAACGCUUAUUGUCCCAAAUCAGCAUAGCACACAGUUCCCAUAAAUCUUAAAAAUUCCCAUCCAAGGCUCAUUUCCGUGUGACUAAAAGUCAUAUUCUCUGUUCUCGUGACUCCAAGUAAAAAUGUCCCUAAAGAGCCAAAGUAUCUUCACUGUAUAAACUAAUAAUCUAUUGGUUUGGGGAAUUUUAUUUUUUGUGAUCAAUGUUACUUUAGCCUUUCUAUGAUAUACAUAUAAAUAAAAAAGUUUUCUUCCAUGAUGAUUUUUUAAAGUUUAUUUUAUAAAUAAACUUUUUCUUUUUGUCUCUCCCUUCCCCCA